AGGAGGAACAACCGCAGUGGUGGAGGACAGCUCUGGAAAUCUGGAAUCAGCUCCCCCAGUAACUAUGGAGCUCUCAGUCUGCAGGGCCUGGAUGCUCCGGGGGCAG
rnacentral:pre_miRNA from 1 species